rnacentral:rRNA from 1 species
UGCGUAGGCGGUGCGGUAAGUCUGUUGUGAAAUCUCCGGGCUCAACUCGGAGCCUGCAACGGAAACUGCCGUGCUGGAGUAUGGGAGAGGUGAGUGGAAUUCCCGGUGUAGCGGCGAAAUGCGUAGAUAUCGGGAGGAACACCUGUGGCGAAAGCGGCUCACUGGACCAUUACUGACGCAGAUGCACGAAAGCUAGGGGAGCAAACAGGAUUAGAUACCCUGGUAGUCCUAGCCCUAAACGAUGAUCGCUUGGUGUGACAGGUACCCAAUCCUGUCGUGCCGGAGCUAACGCGUUAAGCGAUCCGCCUGGGGAGUACGGUCGCAAGGCUGAA